rnacentral:lncRNA from 1 species
CUUUUACCUUCUAAUACCAAACUGGAAUAAUAACUGGAGAGAAAACAGAAUUAACAAGUUUCCACGGGGCUACCAGCGACACAUAAUUUGAGGAGAACAUUGCACCUUCCUGACACAGCAGUGGUGGGCAGAACCAGAUGAAUUAUCAGUGUCUGCUCCUAUUUUGGCUUUUUUCUCAAGACUUUUCUUUGCGAGUGGAAGAAACCCUGAGUUCCCAGGAUAAACAGUUCCAUCAUUGUUCCCAGAGCUCAAGUGGAAAAAAGCCAGGGAUGGCUGAGAAACAUGAAAGGAAAAUAUGAGCAAAAUAAUCAUCCCAAGCCAAGUGUUGGUGGGAGGUGCCACACAUAAUGGGCUGUAACAGUCUGAAAUAUUCCCUGCUGUAAAGUGGUGAAAAAGGAAGUGAAGUCACAAAGGAUUGUAAGGCAUAUGAAAUGAGAUCUGGGGAAGAUCUCUUUGAAGAAAUGUAGACUAAUUGGGCAGAAAAAUGCUGUUCCUGGUCCCAGUGACUAGAAAUCUGGAAAAUCUAUCAUGCAUAGAACUCCAUCUUCUUUCAGAAAUGGUAUGUAAUCCCGAUUUAAAUAUAUAAAUUCUGUGUAAUAUCUGAAUGGACAGGGUCAGCAUUUCCAUGGGUGAAUUGCACCACAGAGCCUGGGGCCUAUUUCUGUGCUAAACUUCAUAUCCUUUUACAGUCCUAUCCUAGGACUGCCCGUACAGAAAGCUCAUUGUUCGCAAGCUGCAAAGAGAAGCCCACUCCUUCAUGAAACAAAACAGCUUUUAGCUCUGUGGCACAUCCCUCAGCAGCAGCGUGUCCACAGCAUGGCAAUUCAUCACCGA